CCUACGGGGUGCAGCAGUGAGGAAUAUUGGUCAAUGGCCGCAGGGCUGAACCAGCCAAGUCGCGUGAGGGAUGACGGUCCUAUGGAUUGUAAACCUCUUUUGUCAGGGAGCAAAGGGCGCCACGUGUGGCGCUUUGCGAGUACCUGAAGAAAAAGCAUCGGCUAACUCCGUGCCAGCAGCCGCGGUAAUACGGAGGAUGCGAGCGUUAUCCGGAUUUAUUGGGUUUAAAGGGUGCGCAGGCGGAAUGUUAAGUCAGCGGUAAAAUUUCGGGGCUCAACCCCGUCGUGCCGUUGAAACUGGCGUUCUUGAGUGAGCGAGAAGUAUGCGGAAUGCGUGGUGUAGCGGUGAAAUGCAUAGAUAUCACGCAGAACUCCGAUUGCGAAGGCAGCAUACCGGCGCUCAACUGACGCUCAUGCACGAAAGCGUGGGUAUCGAACAGGAUUAGAUACCCCGGUAGUC
rnacentral:rRNA from 1 species